rnacentral:rRNA from 1 species
UACGGGGGGAGCAAGCGUUGUUCGGAUUUACUGGGCGUAAAGGGCGCGUAGGCGGCCACCGCAAGUCGACUGUGAAAUCUCCGGGCUUAACCCGGAAAGGUCAACUGAUACUGUGCGGCUAGAGUGCGGAAGGGGCAACUGGAAUUCCCGGUGUAGCGGUGAAAUGCGCAGAUAUCAGGAGGAACACCGGUGGCGAAGGCGGGUCUCUGGGCCGAUACUGACGCUGAGGAGCGAAAGCGUGGGGAGCGAACAGG